GUGUGUGUGUGCUGGGAACCGAACCCUGGUCCUCUUCAAGACUGAUGGGUGUGCUUAACUGCUGAGCCAAUCUCUCUAAUUGGAAAGAUGAUAUGUUAUUGCUAUAAUAAGUCACUAACUUUUGGAAGUAACUUGUCACACAGCAAUGGACAACUGAAUAGAGACACGGAGGUGUUGCCCACUGUUUUGUGAACAACUAGGUAAUGUUUUCUAAGAGAUGCAAAGCCAAGGCUAGUGCGAAUUCUGUGCAUGUCUGGGUUGCCGAGAGAGGUUAGAGGCAGAGUCAUGGCUUAAGGGUUUCCUGAAAUACUGAAGACAGAGGGCAUGGAAAGUCUGUUUAGAGAGAAUGGAAGGAGAUACUUCAGGAUAAAGUCAAGGGCCGAGGCAAUCUGAAGGGACAGUGAAAGGUGCCUGUUAGAGUUCAAGUCCUAGAAAAGUAGCUUUAGCUGAACUUUGUUGCCAGGUAUGGAGAGUUAGGAUGUUACAAGUCUGAAGCUAAGAUGACCUUGGGCUAAAAAGUCAAUCUAUUACCUUCUGUGUAUCUGACUACAUUUUAAAAAGAGAUUAUUAAUUUUAUGUGUAUGAGUACACUGUAGCUGUCUUCAGACACACCAGAAGAGGGAAUUGGAUCCCAUUCAGGUGGUUGUGAGCCACCAUGUGAUUGCUGGGAAUUGAACUCAGGACCUUCAGAAGAGCAGGCAGUGCUCUCAACCACUGAGCCAUCUCUCUAGUCCAAUAAACUGCUUUUAAGACAUUAUUCUCCUUCUCCCUCCCCCUCCCAUUCCCCCCUCCCCCUCCCUCCCUCCCCUCCCCUCUCUGUGUAUGCUCUCAGAGGUCAAAAGAGUUACCUCUCAUAGAGCUGGAAUUAUACACAAAGCUGUACUUGAGUAAGCUGCCUAAUGCAGGUGCUGGGAAUUGAACUCUGGUCCUCUGGAAGAACAGCACUCACCCUUAGCUUCUGAGCCAUCUUAUUCAACCCACAGUAAACUUCUCACCUGAAGGGAUAAUCUGCCCAUUUAUCCCCCUUGCGUCUUGUACUCGGGACCUUUCAGUUUUCCAUUACUAAAGGGACUACCUGAGGCCCAAAUCACUUGUUUAUUUUGGUUGAUUGCUCUGGAACCUGAGAAGUCCAAGACUGGGCAGCCAUGUCUGGUUGGUGAAGGCUGUGCGUUGCUUUCUCCUUCUCAGAACUUGAUGGUCCAGGAACUAGUUCGGCACCACGGGAGUGAGAACUCACUCGCUUUCCUGAGAACUGCCCAAAACACACAAGAAAGACAUUAAGCCAUCCACUGAAACCUCCACAUGUUCCCACGGAUUGAUUUAGAGGGAUACUCAACCCACAACUAUGGGGUAUCAAGAUCUCAUGAACCCAAAGAGGACACUUAGACCAGGAAGCAGAGGGUGAGAGGCCAGAAAGAGAGGGGUCCCCUGUCACCCAGAGUGAGAAGCCCCCCUCCCGUUCUCAGAGCUCACGUAGGGUGGGGCACUGUGUUUGUUUACACUGGGCAGCUGGGAGAUCUUCCCCUGAAGGACAGGCUCCACACAGCACAGUAUCCUCACUGCCAAGUGCUCUUCGGGUGUCCGUCUCUGCCAUCAGUAUUUUUAGCAUAUGGCCUUUGGAGCCCGAAGAACAACGUCCACCUCCCAGAACUGGUCCUCCAGCUGACAGAUAGGACUGCAUGAAAGAGGGCACUUCAGAGGCCAACCGAGUCGGUGCAAAUCAGAUGCUAACGGCAACCCCUCCGCCCAGAAAUCCCAAGUGGAAGGACGCCUCUCGUGAAAUUGCCUUCCGUGACAGUUACAGACAGCCUGAAGGGAAUACCUGUCCAGGUGAUACGGGACAAGAAAAACACCACGAUGUAAGCAUCGUUUCUACAGAUCUCACAACAGGCCCCAAGCCAACCCCGUUGGGAUUCGUAUCAUGCUUUGUUGCACCAGAUGAAGUCUGAUCUGGGACCGUGCCAGAAAACACGGAAGGAAGACGAGAAAGGGUGAAGAGCUUCUAAAUUAGAUUCUGCUGGGGCCAGGAAAGCAGACACGACUGCCGUGGAGAAGGUCAAUGCAA
rnacentral:lncRNA from 1 species